GAUGAACGCUGGCGGCGUGCCUAAUACAUGCAAGUCGAGCGAACAGACGAGGAGCUUGCUCCACUGACGUUAGCGGCGGACGGGUGAGUAACACGUGGAUAACCUACCUAUAAGACUGGGAUAACUUCGGGAAACCGGAGCUAAUACCGGAUAAUAUAUUGAACCGCAUGGUUCAAUAGUGAAAGACGGUUUUGCUGUCACUUAUAGAUGGAUCCGCGCCGCAUUAGCUAGUUGGUAAGGUAACGGCUUACCAAGGCAACGAUGCAUAGCCGACCUGAGAGGGUGCUCGGCCACACUGGAACUGAGACACGGUCCAGACUCCUACGGGAGGCAGCAGUAGGGAAUCUUCCGCAAUGGGCGAAAGCCUGACGGAGCAACGCCGCGUGAGUGAUGAAGGUCUUCGGAUCGUAAAACUCUGUUAUUAGGGAAGAACAAAUGUGUAAGUAACUAUGCACGUCUUGACGGUACCUAAUCAGAAAGCCACGGCGAACUACGU
rnacentral:rRNA from 1 species